UGUCAAAUAUGGGAAGGCUGACUAAAAUCUUAGCUUAGGUUAACGAUAGGUAUCGGACUGACACUGGCUGCGACUGGUUUAAAUACUGUUAGUUCGUAAGGACGGGCGUCAUUUAUUCCACUUUCAAACUGAGGACUGAGAUGGGAACCAACCACAGGAGGAACCCGAGUAGCAGAGCCACGUGUGAACACGACUCAAUUGCAGGUUAUGAGAAACGGCUCGCGCCGCCGACCCUUACAAGCCGUUCACCAGACUCAUUGGAAAGAGUCUGCCGGGACACGAGCCUGAGCGCGGCAAAGAAAGGGCGGCCGUCUCGGGGAAGCCACACGCGGGCGGGACCUCCAGCCCCUUCCCCGCCCGGUGCCCAGACCAGAAGCACUCGCCGCCGGCUGGACAAACCACAGCAACUGUCUGUUCCUCCCUCACCCAGCGCAGGGAAGCCUCGCAACGGCUGCCGUGGGGGGGCAGGGGACAACUCUUCGCUUCGCCCCGCUUCGUGCCUGUACUGGCAGUGGGGCCGCCGACACCCGCGGGCGUCGAAAGGGCAGGAGAAGCUCCUGAAGUAACCCGCGGACCGCAGCAUCCCCACCCGGUGGCACCCACCCCCGCCGAGGAAAGGCGCACACCCCGCAUAAAGAUCAAGAGUGAAUUUGGCUGAGCCCUGCCCUUCUUAUAGACAUCAGCUAUGCACUUACCAGCAUAAAUCAAGAAAGACACAGGCAAAUGGAAACAAACGGCUGAAAUAUUUUGUUGUUGUUAUUAUUGACGUGGUGCUAUCAAUAUGCAUAAUUGGAGAACUUUGCUGUUUCUACUAUCACCAGUUUGUGGUCAAGAAUGUUGGCUGGCCAUUUGUUCAGGAAGCCAGCUUAUAUUUCUUAAGUUGGUCUAGAAUUGCCUCUACUUCAGACAAAUUUUAGAAGACUGAAAACCCUAACAGAAAGCUUAUUGUGAAGCAGUUAUUGGAAGGGGUAGCACAAUAUCAGUAGAAAAAGAAAGAGGAGAGAAAAGACAUAUCCUUUCACAAAUGAUGGAAUACUUUACAUGUUACACUUCUUAGAUAUACUUUAAGUGUACAUCUAAAAAUGUUAAAUGUAAAUAUGACAAAUACAUUCUUAUGAAUGCACAUACUGUAUCAACUUGUCAGGGGACCAGAGUUCUCUGUGCCUGCCUUUUAAGUGUAAUUACAAUGGCAUUUCAAGGCUUUUUUACAAUGCAGGGGCAGAACUACAAUUGAGUAAAUGUGUGCAAUGAAUAUGGGCUACCAGUAGGGGGAGCUGUGCCUGAAUUUCUGACAAAUCAUAAUUUCCCCAUAGGGAUUGAUGGGAAACACAAAAAUAUUAAUAAAUCCUGAAUGGCUAGGCAGAACGUUCUGAAAUUUCACAUGGUGUUCUUAAAUGAUAGCAAUAAAAUGUGUGGACAUUAAAGGAGAUCAGCUCAUCCGUUGAUUUUUGAGUAUUUUUGUAAUUAAUUUUUUUAAAAAAAAUCAUUAAAAUCAAUAACUGAUCUCCUUGAACAUCCACACAUUUAAUGCUACCAUCAUGUGCUACCACCAUAUUAACUUUGGGGAUGUUCUGCCCAGUCAUUCUGGGUGCAAAAUUGCAGGUACUACUCCUUUUAUUUGGAGGCAAGGGACAGUUUCCUCCAGCUGAGGCUUGAAUGAAAGACAGAGUUGGAAUUCAGUUUCAGAAUCUUUUGUAACUUUGUGCAAUGAAAUAAAGCUGUUAUGACACUUUUAAACAGUUUUAGAAUUCAAUCCAUCAGUUGAAACUUUAAAA